GACGAACGCUGGCGGCGUGCUUAACACAUGCAAGUCGAACGGUGAAGGUGGAGCUUGCUCCGCCGGAUCAGUGGCGAACGGGUGAGUAACACGUGGGCAACCUGCCCCUCACUUCGGGAUAACUCCGGGAAACCGGGGCUAAUACCGGAUACGACCUCCUUGGGCAUCCUUGGAGGUGGAAAGUUUUUCGGUGAGGGAUGGGCCCGCGGCCUAUCAGCUUGUUGGUGAGGUAGUGGCUCACCAAGGCGACGACGGGUAGCCGGCCUGAGAGGGCGACAGGCCACACUGGGACUGAGACACGGCCCAGACUCCUACGGGAGGCAGCAGUGGGGAAUAUUGCGCAAUGGGCGAAAGCCGGACGCAGCAACGCCGCGUGUGGGAUGAAGGCCUUCGGGUUGUAAACCGCUUUCAGCAGGGAAGAAGCCGCAAGGUGACGGUACCUGCAGAAGAAGCACCGGCUAACUACGUGCCAGCAGCCGCCGUAA
rnacentral:rRNA from 1 species